GACAGCACGCCCCAUGGCCGCAGCCCGGAACACCUGUGUAGCAGGUCACAUGGGGAAGGGCAGCUGGACCUCCAGACAGCACGCCCCAUGGCCGCAGCCCGGAACACCUGUGUAGCAGGUCACAUGGGGAAGGGCAGCUGGACCUCCAGACAGCACGCUGCAAGGCUGUAGCCCGGAACACCUGUGUAGGAGGUCACAUGGUUAGGACAGCUGGACCUCCAGACAGCAUGCUGCAAGGCUGUAGCCCGGAACACCUGUGUAGGAGAUCAACCAGCAAAUGCACCCUGAGGCAGCUUCAACUCCAAGUGCAUGUGCCAAGAACAAGGAAGGCCACCGCGGCUGCCUCAAAGUCUGUGUGCUUCCAGGAAAUGUCUCUAAUAGAAAUACCAUAUCAGGAAAUAUGUGGACAUUCCUAAACCAGACAACUAAUCACAUUCUAGGUCAGCAGAAACAAAACCUCCCAUAAACAGACAAACACAUGGUCGGGGGCAGGACUUCAUGAAAAGAUCAAAGAAAAGAAACAUGGAUGGCCGGGCAGAGUGGCUCAUGCUUAUAAUCCCAGCACUUUGGGAGGCCGAGGUGGGUGGAUCACUUGAGGUCAGGGGUUCAAGACCAGCUUGGCCAAAACGGUGAAACCCCAUCUCUGCUAAAAACACAAAAAUUAGCCACGUAUGGUGGCACACACCUGUAGUCCCAGCUACUUGGGAGGCUGAGGCAGGAAAAUUGCUUGAACCCAGGAGGUGGAGGUUGGAGUGAGCAGAGAUCGCAACAUUCACUCCGGCCUGGGUGACAGAGGGAGAUUCCAGUUAAAAAAAAAAAAAAGAAAGAAACAUGGAGGAAAUCUCAGUUCAGGCAGAUUCAUCUGAAGAGGACACAAUGAGGAAAGAAGUGGUACAGAGAAAUACGUUGAAACAGCAUAUGUUUUGAACGUUUAUGUUUCCCGACUGACCACUCCAGUUUGGAGGAAGAGGAAGCAAAGGAGAGACACUGUGUUAACAUUUUACCUAGGAUUUCUCAUUUAAUCCUAUUUAAUCUGGCCAAGUCUAUUUCCUAGAUCACAUCCUGGGUCCUCAGCAAACGUUUGGAAGCAAUCUUGUCAUUUGUCAUAAACUCCAGCCCCAGACCAGCAUCAUCACAGAAGUGGCUUCUGGCAGCCUGGGGGCCUCCUCCCACCCACUCCACUAACAACACACAGGCCACUCCCCCUGCAGUCAUUACUACCGGAGAAAUGUUCUAUGGGUCUCACAACACUUACUCUAAAAGGUAAGAGCUAAUUGGCAACCACAUCGAGGCACUGGGAAAAGAUGCCCUCACCCAUCCCUGGUUCCCUGGGUCAUCACCUGUGAUAUAGGGGCUCCAGACCCAAAGGCAUCACUGAAAUCAGUCAGCACAGGAGGCUACAUGUUCCCAAAGCUCUUUGCAAACCUCAACUGCAGCUGUGUUCUCUGCUCCCAAAGGAGAAUUACUCACUUCAAUCUGACUCAUUAUAAUUAGAGUAGGUUGACUUUAGGGAGCAAUAUUUACUUUUUAAAAUAAAAUGGCAAUGAGGGGUGUGUUGCUUGGCAUCACUUAAUAGGUUAGGGCUUGCAAGGCCUGCUCUUGAGUUGUGAAUUUUCUGUGCAGACGGAGCAGGUGUGGGGAGUACCUGUGAUGAGGUGGUGGCUCUGGGGUCAGGCUUUCCCCAUGAGAACAACCAAGACAGCAUAUGAUCCCCUAAAACAGGGGUCAGCAAACUAUAACCCAUAGGCCAAGCCACCUGUGUUGGGAAGUAUAGCUUUAUUGGAACACAGCCAUGCCCAUCUUGUCUAUACUGUCUGCAGCUGCUUCCAUGCUGCAGUAAGGGAGAUGAGUCAUUGUGCUAGAAACUAUCUGUUUGCAAAGACUGAAACAUGUGCUAUCUGACCUUCUGCAGAAGAAGGCGGCCCCUGCUCCAGCACAUAGGGUACUCACUCAACAAUGAGCUAUAUUGCGUCUUAAGCUCAGUACAUGCAUGUAUCAUAACGCUCUUAAAGGUCAAAUGGAUUUAAAAACUCAAAAGUUCCACAAGUAUAUAGCACCUUUGGUACUAAACUCAAGUAUUAACAGUUAUUACUUACCUGAACAUUCAUUUCUUUGAAGCAGAAAGGAAGUCAAAUUUCUGUCACCUCUAGUACUGUCCUAGAACAUAUUCAUAGAUGCUGGCUAUUUGCCACCAUCCAAUUCUUCAUGCUGAAGUGGUUUGAAACCACAAAAAUGUAUUAACUAAUGAAUUAAUCAAUCUGUUUGUGCUUUCAUCUUUUACCUCAACAAAUGUGUACUGGGCACCAGACACUGUGCUGGGUGUGUUAGAAUACGAAGAUGAAACAGUCUCACUGUGUGGACUCAGGGUACCUGUAUUAGUUUGUUCUCAUGCUGCUAUGAAGAAAUAUUUGAGACUGAGUCAUUUAUACAAGAAAGAGGUUUAAUUGACUCACAGUUCUGCAUUGCUGGGGAGGCCUCAGGAGACUUACAAUCACGGCAGAAGGCACCUCUUCACAGGGCAGCAGAAGACAGAGUGAGUGUCGAGCAAAGGGGGAAACCAUCAGAUCUCGUGAGAACUCACUAUCACUAGAAGAGCAUGGGGGAAACUGCCCCCAUGAUUCAAUUAUCUCCAUCUGGUCCCACCAUUGACACAUGGGGAUUAUAAUAAUUCAAAGGUGAGAUUUGUGUGGGGACACAGAGCCACACCAUAUCACCACCUAACCAAGGAGAGAGACAUGUCUACAGGCAACAAGAGAUCAUGUGUGCUGGGAGAUUGCACGGUGAAACCUGAAGCCCCAGGAUGGCUAGCUACCAUUGUGUGUGUGUGUGUGUGUGUGUGCAUGUGUGUGUUGGGGGAGGUGUCAGGAAGCCUUCUCUGAGAAGUUGUCAUUUACUUUGUUUUGUUGCUACUUAUUCUGUAAGAGGUUAAACAAGAUAACUUCUAUAAUCACUUAUCCCCUCCUCAUCUCCAACGGAGCAUGACAUGAGUGAAGGUCAGUUGUUCAAGAGGACAAUUAUAGACUUAAUUCUAAAGUGUGUGCAUGCACACGCACACACACACACAUAUGCAUGCACAGCAACUCCUUUUACAGUUGUGGGUUAAAUUUCCUUUAUGUUACAAGCUGUUCCCAGAGGCAGGACAAGUACCAACUCUACUACGGGACCCGGUUUAUUUGCAUGUGCAGACAAUGAGGCAGGAGUCCACACACUGAGUUACAGCCGCUGGGUGAUAAGAAGCGAGGCCGCAGGUAUGGUGGAAAGAGACCUUGACAUGUGGUCACAUUAUGAUGGUCUUCUCCUGACUACUAUAAAAAGGCUGGACAAUGAUCACUCAGUAAGGUUACACAUUCCCAUCCUUCUCCCUGUAGUGGGGUGAUGAGGCCAGGUGCAGAGCUGUGGGUACUGGCUUGUAAUGGAUCCGCAGCAGGCAGGGAGAGCUCUCUAUGGAGGUGUAAUGGCCACUUUCACAGAUGAUUUGAUGGAUAUUGAAAAUCUCUUCAAUCACAGACUUUCAGAGGGUUUUAAAGUCAACUAUUAGAGAUUCAGUUGCGCAUCAGUCCUGAAAACUUAGAUCUUCUACAAUCUCUUAUCAAAUUGCAUUUUUUUCCCUGUGUAAGAGUUAAUGCCUUUGAGAAAAGACAAAUUUUGUCUCUUUGUUGUGACUGAACUGAUGGAUUGGUGUUCCUCGGUCAAGGUCAGCUCUCAGCUGCCUCACUUCCUCCUGUCACCCUGUGAUUUUGAUCAGUUACAUAUGCUUUUCAAAACCUCUGUUAUCAGUUUUAGCAUUAGAGACAUG
rnacentral:lncRNA from 1 species